ACGCUCGACACCUACUGGAGGCAGCAGUGGGGAAUAUUGCACAAUGGGGGAAACCCUGAUGCAGCGACGCCGCGUGAGCGAAGAAGUAUUUCGGUAUGUAAAGCUCUAUCAGCGAGGGAAGAAACUGACGGUACCUGACUAAGAAGCACCGGACUAAAUACGUGCCAGCAGCCGCGGUAAUCUGAGCGGGCUGGCAAGGC
rnacentral:rRNA from 1 species